UAAUCUUUCAUUUUAUGUUUU
rnacentral:piRNA from 1 species